CUAUCCUCUCCCAUAGCAGAAAUGAUCAACCCCGGCAAAUGGACAGAACCUCUGCCUUUACGCCUUCCACAGCCAGGCGCUGGGAACAUCUUGCAAAUGAUUGAAUUUUCUGGCUCAUGCCCAUUUCUGAUGUUCCCCAAUUGGGCUCCACAAGGUGUUCCUCGUGUUCUGUAACAAUUCACUCACAGCCACUUUGCCAUGGAUAUGAGAAGAGAUUGUAUGCCAGAGUAAUCCACUUCACUCAGCAGAUUCUUGGGCCAAAAAGCCCAAAGGCUGUGGAUAAAUAAAAAUAACUUGCAAGCCCUAGCAACCUCUUGUACAUCAUUUAGCUGCAUCCUCUCCAUGGCUUGGGGGGGGGGGAGCUGUUUCUAUAUGCCAGCUUUGAUUCCAAGCUCCACAUCAAAGCCCUGUUGCUUUAAUGAAUCCAAGGCUAGGCUGCUCUCAGUUUCCAGCCUCCAAAUCAUUAACAACACACCCUCGCCAUCUGCUUCAGCACCAUGGACAGCACUGGCAAUAAAUACUGUGUCUACGAGGUCUCAACUACUGAAGGCUUCCCCCUUUUCAUAGGUGCCCCCUCUAAUAAGCUACUGCCCUUCCUUGGGUCUUUAUGACACAGGUGUCUGCUUCUAUCAGAUCUUUACUUCUUCUUCCUAUUUACUGGCAGGCGUUUCCAGGAUCCCAGAUGGGAGCAUCUCUCAGCCUUGCUUAAAGAUGCUGGGAACUGAAACUCAGCCCUUCCACCUGCAAAAGAGAGACUCUUCUACUGAGACCUGGCCUUGUAGGCCAGUGGUUUCUCCAAAAUGACAUUCACCUCUUGAAGGCAUCUCAGUCCAAAAUGUAGCAACCACUGGACAACUCCUGACCAUAUAUAUGCCAGAAAUCNGCAGAACAAUUUUUUCCAGAGGCAGCUAUGGCCUGCCAUUGUGCCGGCCAGGGAGCUGUGUGCUGCUGACGUCACGAUUCAUUUUAUCCAUGACUGAUGAAGGCGUCUCUCAGUGCCACGUUGCGCAUACGAAUCAGAAAGUGCUCCUCUGGCACCGCACGCCAGGUAAUCCAUCUUCACACCGGGAUGUAAAGCAGGCAAGGGAGAGGGGAAGAGACGGAGAGGCGGAAUCUUCGUUCCAAACAAACAGCGACAUCCUCUUCUCGGAGCCGCGGUUUCAAGGCCGGGCAAAGAUGGUGGCAACCCCUAUCUGCGUCCCCUUUUCAGAAGAGAAGGCCUGGAACUUCCUUUUCCCAACCAGAACAACCCCUGAAAUAAUUUGCCUCCUUCUGGACAAAAGGGUGCCUCUUCGCUCAUGGCUGGUUCCUUUGACGUGAGCUGUAAGGGAUGAAGCCGUGUCCCACCUGUUUGGGGUUUGGGACUGAAAAGCCAGUUUCCAUUAAUCCCAAUGGAGAGUUGGGCUGCGUCUCCAUUACACAGCAAAGGCCCCUUGAGUGAGGGCACUUUCCAUUACUUCCAAUGGAGACCAGCUGCUCUGAAGGCCUGAUCAAGGCGCCUUUAUGGCUGAUGGAGACGCAACCUCAGUCACACGCCCAACGUGCUUGCUAGGUGCCACCACNCACAAGGCCACUGGUAGACUGGGUCUUCCCUCCAUGGUGCCAGUGACUUAUUGAUAGNCCGGAGAGCCAGUGUCUUACAAAAACAGUAAAGAACCCUUUUUGUCCAAAUAAAUGGAAUUUGAUUUUUCA
rnacentral:lncRNA from 1 species